CAGCGACGCCGCGUGAGGGAUGACGGCCUUCGGGUUGUAAACCUCUUUCACCAGGGACGAAGCGCGAGUGACGGUACCUGGAGAAGAAGCACCGGCCAACUACGUGCCAGCAGCCGCGGUAAUA
rnacentral:rRNA from 1 species